GAUGAAGAACGCAGCGAAAUGCGAUAAGUAAUGUGAAUUGCAGAAUUCAGUGAAUCAUCGAAUCUUUGAACGCACAUUGCGCCCGCCAGUAUACUGGCGGGCAUGCCUGUCUGAGCGUCAUUUCAACCCUCAUGCCCCUAGGGCGUGGUGUUGGGGAUCGGCCAAAGCCCGCGAGGGACGGCCGGCCCCUAAAUCUAGUGGCGGACCCGUCGUGGCCUCCUCUGCGAAGUAGUGAUAUUCCGCAUCGGAGAGCGAUGAGCCCCUGCCGUUAAACCCCCAACUUUCCAAGGUUGACCUCAGAUCAGGUAGGAAUACCCGCUGAACUUAAGCAUAUCAAUAAGCGGAGGA
rnacentral:misc_RNA from 1 species